rnacentral:tRNA from 1 species
AAAUAAAUAACUAAUUUUAAGUUUGUUAUUUACACUAACAAGAUGAUUGAAAAAUCUUUAUUUA